rnacentral:tRNA from 1 species
UCCGGGAUAGCUCAGCGGUAGAGCAGCAGGCUGUUAACUUGUUGGUCCCUGGUUCGAAUCCAGGUCUCGGAGCCA